rnacentral:rRNA from 1 species
AGUGGACGCGAGCAUCUUUGUAGUGUUGACAAGCUACUAAGUGCACAUGGUGGAUGCCUUGGCAUCGAGAGCCGAUGAAGGACGUUGGAGUCUGCGAAAAGCCCUGGGGAGUUGACAACCGAGCUGUGAUCCGGGGAUGUCCGAAUGGGGAAACCCAGCACGAGUUAUGUCGUGUUACCCGCGCUUGAAUAUAUAGGGCGUGUGGAGGGAACGUGGGGAAGUGAAACAUCUCAGUACCCGCAGGAAGAGAAAACAACCGUGAUUCCGGGAGUAGUGGCGAGCGAAACCGGAUGAGGCUAAACCUCAGGUGUGUGAUAGCCGGCAGGCGUUGCAUCUGGGGGGUCGUGGGGCCGUGCUGAUCGUUCUGCCGGACGGUCGAAGAGUGAGAAACCAUCAGUGAAGGUGAAGCGACUGGGAUGUCGUGACAGAGAGGGUGAGAUCCCCGUAGCUGUAAGCUGGUGGCUCUUGUGCGUGACCCCGAGUAGCACCGUACUCCUGAAAUUCGGUGUGAAUUUGGCGGGACCACCCGUUAAGCCUAAAUACUCCUCGAUGACCGAUAGCGGACUAGUACCGUGAGGGAAAGGUGAAAAGUACCCCGGGAGGGGAGUGAAAGAGUACCUGAAACCAUGUGCAUACAAUCCGUCGGAGCAUUCCUUGUGGGUGUGACGGCGUGCCUUUUGAAGAAUGAGCCUGCGAGUUAGUGUUAUGUAGCGAGGUUAAGCCGUUGGGGUGGAGCCGUAGCGAAAGCGAGUCCGAAUAGGGCGUUUGAGUUGCAUGAUCUAGACCCGAAGCGGAGUGAUCUAUCCAUGGGCAGGUUGAAGCGCGGGUAAGACCGCGUGGAGGACCGAACCCACCUAGGUUAAAAACUGGGGGGAUGACCUGUGGAUAGGGGUGAAAGGCCAAUCAAACUCCGUGAUAGCUGGUUCUCCCCGAAAUGCAUUUAGGUGCAGCGUGACGUGUUUCUUGCCGGAGGUAGAGCACUGGAUGGGCUAGGGGGCCUACCAGCUUACUGAACUCAGCCAAACUCCGAAUGCCGGUAAGUGAGAGCGUUGCAGUGAGACUGCGGGGGAUAAGCUUCGUAGUCGAGAGGGAAACAGCCCAGACCAUCAGCUAAGGCCCCUAAGCGGUUGCUAAGUGGAAAAGGAUGUGGAGUCGCAGAGACAACCAGGAGGUUGGCUUAGAAGCAGCCAUCCUUGAAAGAGUGCGUAAUAGCUCACUGGUCAAGUAAUUCCGCGCCGACAAUUUAGCGGGGCUCAAGCAAUCCGCCGAAGCUAUGGCAUUCACACUUGUGAUAGGCCUAUGUGGUCCAGUCGUGUGGAUGGGUAGGGGAGCGUCGUGUCGCGAGUGAAGCAGCCGGGUGACCGAGUUGUGGAUGCGACACGAGUGAGAAUGCAGGCAUGAGUAGCGAAUGAAGAGUGAGAAACUCUUCCACCGGAUGACCAAGGGUUCCAGGGUCAAGCUAAUCUUCCCUGGGUAAGUCGGGACCUAAGGCGAGGCCGACAGGCGUAGUCGAUGGACAACGGGUUGAUAUUCCCGUACCGGCGAUAGAUCGCCCCUGGCGAGGUCAGUGAUGCUAAGCACCCGAAGCCGUCUUCAGUCUCUUCGGAGACAGGGAUUGGUGGAGCGUGUGACCCGAGCUGGUAGUAGCCAAGCGAUGGUGUGACGCAGGAAGGUAGCUCAUCCUCGGCGAUGGUUGUCCGAGGGUAAGAAUGUAGGGCUGACGGUAGGCAAAUCCGCCGUCUGUGUGUCUGAGAUUCGAUGCCACUUCACCUACGGGUGUUGUGUGAGUGAUCCUAUGCUGCCGAGAAAAGCAUCUAGCGAGAUCUGUAGCCGCCCGUACCCCAAACCGACUCAGGUGGUCAGGUAGAGAAUACUAAGGUGAUCGAGUGAAUCAUGGUUAAGGAACUCGGCAAAAUGCCCCCGUAACUUCGGGAGAAGGGGGGCCGGAUACGUGAACACCCUUGCGGUGGGAAGCGUUGAAGGCCGCAGAGACCAGGCCCAAGCGACUGUUUAUUAAAAACACAGGUCCGUGCUAAGUCGUAAGACGCCGUAUACGGACUGACUCCUGCCCGGUGCUGGAAGGUUAAGGGGACGUGUUAGCCGCAAGGCGAAGCGCAGAACUUAAGCCCCAGUAAACGGCGGUGGUAACUAUAACCAUCCUAAGGUAGCGAAAUUCCUUGUCGGGUAAGUUCCGACCUGCACGAAUGGAGUAACGACUUGGGCGCUGUCUCAACCAUGAACUCGGCGAAAUUGCACUACGAGUAAAGAUGCUCGUUACGCGCGGCAGGACGGAAAGACCCCGGGACCUUUACUAUAGCUUGGUAUUGGUGUUUGGUUCGACUUGUGUAGGAUAGGUGGGAGACUGUGAAGCGGCCACGCCAGUGGUUGUGGAGUCAUCGUUGAAAUACCACUCUGGUCGUACUAGAUAUCUAACUUAGGUCCGUUAUCCGGAUCAGGGACAGUGCCUGGUGGGUAGUUUAACUGGGGCGGUUGCCUCCUAAAAUGUAACGGAGGCGCCCAAAGGUUCCCUCAGCCUGGUUGGCAAUCAGGUGUUGAGUGUAAGUACACAAGGGAGCUUGACUGCGAGAGUGACGGCUCGAGCAGGGACGAAAGUCGGGACUAGUGACCCGGCGCUGGCAUGUGGAAGCGGCGUCGCUCAACGGAUAAAAGGUACCCCGGGGAUAACAGGCUGAUCUUCCCCAAGAGUCCAUAUCGACGGGAUGGUUUGGCACCUCGAUGUCGGCUCGUCGCAUCCUGGGGCCGUAGCAGGUCCCAAGGGUUGGGCUGUUCGCCCAUUAAAGCGGCACGCGAGCUGGGUUUAGAACGUCGUGAGACAGUUCGGUCCCUAUCCGCCGCGCGCGUAGGAAACUUGAGAAAGGCUGCCCCUAGUACGAGAGGACCGGGGUGGACGAACCUCUGGUGUGCCAGUUGUACCGCCAGGUGCACGGCUGGUUGGCUACGUUCGGAAGUGAUAACCGCUGAAAGCAUCUAAGCGGGAAGCACGUUUCAAGAUGAGGUUUCCCACCCGUAUGGGUUAAGGCCCCCAGCAGACCACUGGGUUGAUAGGCCAGAAGUAGAAGCACAGCAAUGUGUGGAGCUGACUGGUACUAAUAGGCCGAGGGCUUGUCACUCAA